rnacentral:rRNA from 1 species
CCUAUGGGGGGCAGCAGGCGCGAAAACUUCACAAUGGGCGCAAGCCCGAUGAGGGAACUCCUAGUGCUAGCACUUUUUGUGUUAGCUUUUCUUCAGCGUAGAUAACUGAAGGAAUAAGGGCUGGGUAAGACGGGUGCCAGCCGCCGCGGUAAUACCUGCAGCCCAAGUGGUGGUCGAUUUUAUUGAGUCUAAAACGUUCGUAGCCGGUCUGGUAAAUCCUUGGGUAAAUCGGAAAGCUUAACUUUCCGAAUUCCGAGGAGACUGCCAGACUUGGGACCGGGAGAGGCUAGAGGUACUUCUGGGGUAGGGGUAAAAUCCUGUAAUCCUAGAAGGACCACCGGUGGCGAAGGCGUCUAGCUAGAACGGAUCCGACGGUGAGGGACGAAGCCCUGGGUCGCAAACGGGAUUAGAUACCCCGGUAGUCC